rnacentral:rRNA from 1 species
UACAGAGGUCUCAAGCGUUGUUCGGAUUCAUUGGGCGUAAAGGGUGUGUAGGUGGCGCGCUAAGUCGGGUGUGAAAUUUCGGAGCUUAACUCCGAAAACUGCAUUCGAUACUGGCGUGCUUGAGGACUGGAGAGGAGACUGGAAUUCAUGGUGUAGCAGUGAAAUGCGUAGAGAUCAUGAGGAAGACCAGUGGCGAAGGCGGGUCUCUGGACAGUUCCUGACACUGAGACACGAAGGCCAGGGGAGCAAACGGG